CGGGCCUACAUGCCCCGCAGGAUCCCGUUGGUCUCCAAGUCGGUGAGGUUGCCGCGCAGGUCCUGCUCCUCCUCGAAAGCCUUGAACAGUGAGUUGAAGUUGCCGGCUCCAAAACCCUGGAGCGGGAGAGAGAAGAAGCCAGGCCCCUGGAGUCCAGGGAAGGCCUCACCUGGAUCUGGGACUUCUUCUUCCCCAGAGCCGGCUCGUUAAUGGGCAUCUUGAUAGACUCCUCGUAAUUGGCCACCACGAUGGAGCGCAGAGAGCUGUAUUCUGUGUGCACCUGCGUGUCGUCCACAGACCAGAAGCGGUGGAACUGCAGAUUCUUCAGAUCCCCUUCGCCUGGCUCCGCCUCCAAGCUGACACCUGCUGCCAUUUCAACCCCAUUACAAUCUGUGUGGAGCUAAAAUCAGGUGAAAUCACUGUACUCCAUGAGCUGGGCAGAUUUGGGAUACCCCUCUGUGGAGCAGACACUGUGAAAACACCACGGAUGCUGCUGGACCGUCUAGUUGUUGCAGAUUUCCACGAUGAAAGAUUUGCUUUCUGAUGGCAAAAGUUAAAACCCAGCUGCUGAUCGGCUAUUUCUGGUGCAGACUCAUUAGAUUCCUAACUGUGAUUCCUGGGCCAAAGCAGCAGGUUGGGUGAGGGCAUGUCAUGAGGGGCACAGCCCCUCCCACCCACUCCUGACAGAUGGGGGACAUCUCAUGGCUGUGGGUUGUUGUAUUUGAAUUUUCCUUUAGCUGCAAUUUCCAUUAAUGGACUGAUUGUCUGACUCCUCCUUCCUCACUUUCUCUUGGUACACGCAUCUUAAUGGGGCCGUCUGCUAAAUGCAGCUGUCUCCCCGAAAGACAUUAUCUUUUCUAAGGGGCUCACUAGAUCCAUGCUCAGGGUGAAAGGGGUAGAGAGUUAUAUAAACCCAUUUUGAACAUUUUUGACAAGCAGAAUUUUGCCCUAUUUCCUGAAUCUAAUGAGUCUUUCCGGAUAAGUUGCAUAAAUUUUUUUUUCCCCUAUGAAAAUGCUUUGUCCUUCCUGUGUAGAACCCUUCCAGACAAAGGUCUGGGUGAGAGUAGGGGGUGACUGAAAAAGAAUUAAAGUUUUAAUUGCUGAA